AGCUAAGGGAGUUCAUCAUCACUAGACCUAACAUAUAAGAAAUGCUAAAGGGAGUGACAAGCUAAAAUGAAAGGAUGUUAAUAAGAAAACUUGGUAUCAAACUCACUGGUAAAACUACCUGAUGAUUAUCCCACCCACUCCUCAGAUUUAUUAUCUGCACCAAAACAAUAAUUUCCUCCUCUCUCACAACCUAAUCACCUCCAUCAGCCAGAAGCAUUAGUCGCUGAGAUGGGAUGAUGGAGCCACUCCCAAGAGCAUGUGGUGACCAGAUUCAAGCACCAAGGGGGAAGUCAGAGAGGGAGACUACCUGAAUUUGUUCUACUAUAAUCAGGAUAAUAAAGGCAUUCACAGACUUCAUUACUCUGACCAAUCUCCAUUUCCUUGACUGGAGAGAGGGAAACCUUAGAGGAAUUUUGAAUAACCAGGAAAAAGUAGAAAAAAACGUGUGCUGGAUUUUAUGGAAUUGGGGGACCUCAGGGAAUGCUAAAACCGGAUUUGGACAUAUUUUGUAAUAGUAUUAGUGCUUGUUUGUAAUGAAUAACAACAACAACAAAAACUUGCCUUCUUAAUCAGGAUGAAUGCAAUUUGGAGGUUGUGGGGAGAAAGAGAGGGAGAGAAUCCCAAGAAGACUCCAUACUCAGCCCGGAAGCCCAG